rnacentral:rRNA from 1 species
AUUGAACGCUGGCGGCAGGCCUAACACAUGCAAGUCGAGCGAGCGGCGGACGGGUGAGUAAUGUCUGGGAAACUGCCUGAUGGAGGGGGAUAACUACUGGAAACGGUAGCUAAUACCGCAUAACAUCAGAUGUGCCCCGAUGGGAUUAGCUAGUAGGUGGGGUAACGGCUCACCUAGGCGACGAACCCUAGCUGGUCUGAGAGGAUGACCAGCCACACGGGAACUGAGAAACGGUGCAGACUCCUACGGGAGGGAGCAGUGGGGAAUAUUGCACAAUGGGCGAAAGCCGGAUGCAGCCAUGCCGGGUGUGUGAAGAAGGCCUUCGGGUUGUAAAGCACUUUCAGCGGGGAGGCGUUACCCGCAGAAGAAGCACCGGCUAACUCCGUGCCAGCAGCCGCGGUAAUAC